CAGAAGCCGGAAGAAUUGUCGGAGGGGGUGAGACUUAGAGAGAGAAGGGAUUGGAUGAAGGAAGAAAAAUGUUUCAGCCUCAGACCUGUAAUCUACUUAUUGGUUGGGAUUUGUUCGAGAACAAAUGGAACACUGAAUGUCAAUAAGGUUGUCAUCGCAACUGACAGUGACAGGAUUGUGCAUCAUCCUUUCGUGGAUAAAUAUGCUUGCCAAGUGCCAAUAUUGCUUCUUCUCUGGGGAGGAAGCCACGCACGGACGCAUAUAUCAGUUACAGAGCAAGAAAGCGCUACUGGAGGCUGUAGAAGCUGUCACUACAGGAAAGGAUUGGAUUGCUCACAUUUUGCACAAAAUGCAAGACUGCAGGAAGUGACAGUGCACAACACAUAUGCAGCAACAUUAGCCAGUUUCUGUCUUUUCUUUGCCAAAUUCCUUUCAAGUAUAUCUUGAAAUAUUAGAAAUAUCAGUCUGAUUA